CGAGGCAUAGCUCAAUUGUAUGGAGCAACGGACUUCUAAUCCGUAGGUUGAAGGUUAGAAUCCUUCUGUCUCGA
rnacentral:tRNA from 1 species